ACGAACGCUGGCGGCGUGCUUAACCCAUGCCAGUCGCACGGAAAGGCCCUGCUUUUGUGGGGUGCUCGAGUGGCGAACGGGUGAGUAACACGUGAGUAACCUGCCCUUGACUUUGGGAUAACUUCAGGAAACUGGGGCUAAUACCGGAUAGGAGCUCCUGCUGCAUGGUGGGGGUUGGAAAGUUUCGGCGGUUGGGGAUGGACUCGCGGCUUAUCAGCUUGUUGGUGGGGUAGUGGCUUACCAAGGCUUUGACGGGUAGCCGGCCUGAGAGGGUGACCGGCCACAUUGGGACUGAGAUACGGCCCAGACUCCUACGGGAGGCAGCAGUGGGGAAUAUGGCACAAUGGGCGGAAGCCUGAUGCAGCAACGCCGCGUGCGGGAUGACGGCCUUCGGGUUGGAAACCGCUUUCGCCUGUGACGAAGCGUGAGUGACGGGAAUGGGUAAAGAAGCACCGGCGAACUACGU
rnacentral:rRNA from 1 species